rnacentral:other from 1 species
AAUGCCCUGCCAUGUGCGUGAUGGGCCUAUUUAGAACCCACAUCAACUAUAAGGGACGCUUUUCUCCCGCGGUGAAUUGCAGGCCUCCCGCCUUCGGGCGGACGUUGGAAGCAGAGAAGCCCCGGGGCGGCGACCCACCUGCAAUUCGUGCAGGUGAUAAACGGGUCCACACGGCAUCGGCGGGGAACCG